GGGAUUUUUGAUAUCAAAGCAUUUUCAACUGGAGUAACAGUUGUUUGGGAGGACACUUUCUAUGCAUUUUUCAGGUCUCUCUCCCAAGCUAAUGGAAAGAUUUAAAAGAUUUCUGCUUAAUAACUUAAAGUUGAUGCAGAUACAUGUUGUGGAUUCUAAUCAUACCUAAUGUUCAUGUGUGAGGAAUGUGUAAAGUGAUAUUAG
rnacentral:lncRNA from 1 species